AUGAUGUGUAGCCGGGCUGAGAGGUUGAACGGCCACAUUGGGACUGAGACACGGCCCAAACUCCUACGGGAGGCAGCAGUAGGGAAUUUUCGGCAAUGGAGGAAACUCUGACCGAGCAACGCCGCGUGAACGAUGAAGUAUUUCGGUACGUAAAGUUCUUUUAUAGGGAAGAAUAAAUGAUGGAAAAAUCAUUCUGACGGUACCUAAUGAAUAAGCCCCGGCUAACUAUGUGCCAGCAGCGCGGUAAUACAUAGGGGGCAAGCGUUAUCCGGAAUUAUUGGGCGUAAAGGGUGCGUAGGCGGUUAAAUAAGUUUAUGGUCUAAGUGCAAUGCUCAACAUUGUGAUGCUAUAAAAACUGUUUAGCUAGAGUAAGAUAGAGGCAAGUGGAAUUCCAUGUGUAGUGGUAAAAUGCGUAAAUAUAUGGAGGAACACCAGUAGCGAAGGCGGCUUGCUGGGUCUUUACUGACGCUGAGGCACGAAAGCGUGGGGAGCAAACAGGAUUAGAUACCCUGGUAGUCCACGCCGUAAACGAUGAGUACUAAACGUUGGGUAAAACCAGUGUUGAAGUUAACACAUUAAGUACUCCGCCUGAGUAGUACGUACGCAAGUAUGAAACUUAAAGGAAUUGACGGGACUCCGCACAAGCGGUGGAUCAUGUUGUUUAAUUCGAAGGUACCCGAAAAACCUCCCAGGUCUUGACAUGCUUCUGCAAAGCUGUAGAAACACAGUGGAGGUUAUCAGUUGCACAGGUGGUGCAUGGUUGUCGUCAGCUCGUGUCGUGAGAUGUUGGGUUAAGUCCCGCAACGAGCGCAACCCUUAUUGUUAGUUACCAGCACGUAUGGUGGGGACUUUAGCAAGACUGCCAGUGAUAAAUUGGAGGAAGGUGGGGACGACGUCAAAUCAUCAUGCCCCUAUG
rnacentral:rRNA from 1 species